rnacentral:rRNA from 1 species
UACGAAGGGGGCUAGCGUUGCUCGGAAUCACUGGGCGUAAAGGGUGCGUAGGCGGGUCUUUAAGUCAGGGGUGAAAUCCUGGAGCUCAACUCCAGAACUGCCUUUGAUACUGAGGAUCUUGAGUACGGGAGAGGUGAGUGGAACUGCGAGUGUAGAGGUGAAAUUCGUAGAUAUUCGCAAGAACACCAGUGGCGAAGGCGGGUCUCUGGGCCGAUACUGACGCUG